AUACGUAGGUGACAAGCGUUAUCCGGAAUUACUGGGCGUAAAGGGUGCGUAGGUGGCACUUUAAGUUGGAUGUGAAAUCCCCGUGCUUAACAUGGGAGCUGCAUCCAAUACUGGAGAGCUAGAGUGCCGGAGAGGUCAGCGGAAUUCCUAGUGUAGCGGUGAAAUGCGUAGAUAUUAGGAGGAACACCAGUGGCGAAGGCGGCUUACUGGACUGUAACUGACACUGAGGCACGAAAGCGUGGGGAGCAAACAGGAUUAGAUACCCUGGUAGUCCACGCUGUAAACGAUGAAUACUAGGUGUAGGGGGUAUCAACUCCCUCUGUGCCGCAGCAGACGCAAUAAGUAUUCCGCCUGGGGAGUACGGCCGCAAGGUUGAAACUCAAAUGAAUUGACGGGG
rnacentral:rRNA from 1 species